CCUGGUUGAUCCUGCCAGUAGUCAUAUGCUUGUCUCAAAGAUUAAGCCAUGCAUGUGUAAGCACACACUGUUUUAAAAGUGAAGCCGCGAAUGGCUCAUUACAACAGCCACAGUUUAUUAGAACUUACAAUCAUGGAUAACUGUGGUAAUUCUAGAGCUAAUACACGCACAAAAACUUCAACUGAAUUGGUUGAAGUGCUUUUAUUAGAACAAAAACCGAACGGCGUUUGGCGAAUGUUGAACGUCGAAACUGUUUGGUGAAUCUGAAUAACUAUUUCUGAUCGCAUGGUCUAGCACCGGCGACAUCACUUUCAAGUGUCUGCCUUAUCAACCUUCGAUGGUAGUCUAUGCGACUACCAUGGUGAUAACGGGUAACGGAGAAUCAGGGGUCGACUCCGGAGAGGGAGCCUGAGAAACGGCUACCACAUCCAAGGAAGGCAGCAGGCGCGCAAAUUACCCACUCCCAGCUUGGGGAGGUAGUGACGAAAAAUAACGAGACGAUUCUCGUUUGAGAAACGUUAUCGAAAUGAGUACGCUUUACACACGCUAACGAGUAGCAAUUGGAGGGCAAGUCUGGUGCCAGCAGCCGCGGUAAUUCCAGCUCCAAUAGCGUAUAUUAAAGUUGCUGCGGUUAAAACGCUCGUAGUUGAAUUGUGGUCUUAGACAACAGUCCCCCUACAUAGGUGUGGCACGGUUGCUCGAGAUCUUCAUUCGUGGUUGCUGUUGUUGCUCUUCAUUGAGUGUCAAUGGUGCCUCGAGAUUUUACUUUGAAAAAAUUAGAGUGCUCAAAGCAGGUUGUGAUGCCUGAAUAAUGGUGCAUGGAAUAAUAGAAUACGAUCUCGGUUCUAUUUUGUUGGUUUUCGAACCGGAGAUAAUGAUUGAAAGGAACAGACGGGGGCAUUCGUAUUGCUGCGUUAGAGGUGAAAUUCUUGGAUCGCAGCAAGAUGAACAAUUGCGAAAGCAUUUACCAAGAAUGUUUUCAUUAAUCAAGAACGAAAGUUAGAGGUUCGAAGGCGAUCAGAUACCGCCCUAGUUCUAACGGUAAACUAUGCCAACCAGCGAUUCGCCGAAGUUCAUUUAAGACUCGGCGAGCAGCUUCCGGGAAACCAAAGUGUUUCGGUUCCGGGGGAAGUAUGGUUGCAAAGCUGAAACUUAAAGGAAUUGACGGAAGGGCACCACCAGGAGUGGAGCCUGCGGCUUAAUUUGACUCAACACGGGAAAACUCACCCGGCCCGGACACUGGAAGGAUUGACAGAUUGACAGCUCUUUCUUGAUUCAGUGGGAAGUGGUGCAUGGCCGUUCUUAGUUGGGGGAGCGAUUUGUCUGGUUAAUUCCGAUAACGAACGAGACUCUACCCUAUUAAAUAGUGAUAGUAUUGUAUUUUUUGUGCUGAUCACUUCUUAGAGGGACUGGCAAAUUGAAAGCUGCACGAAAAAGAGCAAUAACAGGUCUGUGAUGCCCUUCGAUGUCCGGGGCUGCACGCGCGCUACAAUGAAAGCGUCAACGUGAGUUACGUCCUUACCUGAAAAGGUUUGGCAAUCGAAUGAAACGUUUUCUUGAAUGGAAUAGGGAAUUGCAAUUGUUUCCCUUGAACGAGGAAUUCCCAGUAAGCGUGAGUCAUUAGCUCGCGUUGAUUACGUCCCUGCCCUUUGUACACACCGCCCGUCGCUACUACCGAUUGGAUGAUUUAGUGAGGUGUUUUGACUGGCGCCAGUAGUCGGAUGUAUUCGGCUUCGCGCCGGGAAAUUUCCCAAACCAAAUCAUCUAGAGGA
rnacentral:rRNA from 1 species